rnacentral:rRNA from 1 species
GGAAUAUUGCGCAAUGGGCGAAAGCCUGACGCAGCGACGCCGCGUGGAGGAUGAAGGCCUUCGGGUCGUAAACUCCUGUCGGAGGGGAAGAACCGCUGGCAGCCGAAUAGGCUCCAGUCUGACGGUACCCCACAAGGAAGCACCGGCUAACUUCGUGCCAGCAGCCGCGGUAAUACGUAGGCAGCGAGCGUUGUUCGGAGUUACUGGGCGUAAAGCGUGCGUAGGCGGUGGCCCAAGUCUGGUGUGAAAUCUCCCGGCUCAACCGGGAGGGUGCGCCGGAAACUGGGUCGCUUGAGUACUGGAGAGGCAAGCGGAAUUCCUGGUGUAGCGGUGAAAUGCGUAGAUAUCAGGAGGAACACCCGUGGUGUAGACGGCUUGCUGGACAGUCACUGACGCUGAGGCACGAAAGCGUGGGGAGCAAAC